rnacentral:rRNA from 1 species
AGCGAACGCUGGCGGCAGGCCUAAAACAUGCAAGUCGAGCGCCGUAGCAAUACGGAGCGGCAGACGGGAGAGUAACACGUGGGCACGUGCCCUUCAGAUCGGAACAACCCAAGGAAAAUUGGGCUAAUACCGGAUACCCCCUUACGGGGAAAGAUUAAUCGCUGAAGGGUCGGCCCGCGUCUGAUUAGCUUGCUGGUGAGGUAACGGCUCACCAAGGCGACGAUCAGUAGCUGGUCUGAGAUGAUGAUCAGCCUCACUGGGACUGAGACACGGCCCAGACUCCUACGGGUGGCAGCAGUGGGGAAUAUUUGACAAUGGGCGCAAGCCUGAUCCAGCCAUGCCGCGUGAGUGAUGAAGGCCUUAGGGUUGUAAAGCUCUUUCGGCGGGGAAGAUAAUGACGAUACCCGCAGAAGAAGCCCCGGCUAACUUCGUUCCAGCCGCCGCAGUAACAC